CGGUCCCAAGGGUUGGGCUGUUCGCCCAUUAAAGCGGUACGCGAGCUGGGUUCAGAACGUCGUGAGACAGUUCGGUCCCUAUCCGUCGUGGGCGUAGGAAAUUUGAGAGGAGCUGUCCUUAGUACGAGAGGACCGGGAUGGACAUACCUCUGGUGUACCAGUUGUCGUGCCAACGGCAUAGCUGGGUAGCUAUGUGUGGACGGGAUAAGUGCUGAAAGCAUCUAAGCAUGAAGCCCCCCUCAAGAUGAGAUUUCCCAACUUCGGUUAUAAGAUCCCUCAAAGAUGAUGAGGUUAAUAGGUUCGAGGUGGAAGCAUGGUGACAUGUAGAGCUGACGAAUACUAAUCGAUCGAAGACUUAAUCAAAA
rnacentral:rRNA from 1 species